rnacentral:rRNA from 1 species
UACGUAGGGUGCAAGCGUUAUCCGGAAUUAUUGGGCGUAAAGAGCUCGUAGGCGGUUUGUCGCGUCUGCUGUGAAAACUGGAGGCUCAACCUCCAGCCUGCAGUGGGUACGGGCAGGCUAGAGUGCGGUAGGGGAGAGUGGAAUUCCUGGUGUAGCGGUGGAAUGCGUAGAUAUCUGGAGGAAUACCGGUGGCGAAGGCGGCAUGCUGGACCGGCAUUGACGCUGAGGAGCGAAAGCGAGGGGAGCAAACGGG